CGUACACUCCUGCGGGAGGCAGCAGUGGGGAAUAUUGCACAAUGGGCGCAAGCCUGAUGCAGCCAUGCCGCGUGUAUGAAGAAGGCCUUCGGGUUGUAAAGUACUUUCAGCGGGGAGGAAGGCGAUAAGGUUAAUAACCUUGUCGAUUGACGUUACCCGCAGAAGAAGCACCGGCUAACUCCGUGCCAGCAGCCGCGGUAAUACGGAGGGUGCAAGCGUUAAUCGGAAUUACUGGGCGUAAAGCGCACGCAGGCGGUCUGUCAAGUCGGAUGUGAAAUCCCCGGGCUCAACCUGGGAACUGCAUUCGAAACUGGCAGGCUAGAGUCUUGUAGAGGGGGGUAGAAUUCCAGGUGUAGCGGUGAAAUGCGUAGAGAUCUGGAGGAAUACCGGUGGCGAAGGCGGCCCCCUGGACAAAGACUGACGCUCAGGUGCGAAAGCGUGGGGAGCAAACAGGAUUAGAAACCCGUGUAGUCCCAUGAU
rnacentral:rRNA from 1 species